rnacentral:rRNA from 1 species
GACGAACGCUGGCGGCGUGCCUAAUACAUGCAAGUCGAACGAACCGCGACUAGGUGCUUGCACUUGGUCAAGGUGAGUGGCGAACGGGGGAGUAACACGUGGGUAACCUACCUCAUAGUGGGGGAUAACAGUCGGAAACGACUGCUAAUACCGCAUAGGACAUAGGAUCACAUGAUCCAGUGAGGAAAGGUGGCGCAAGCUAUCGCUAAGAGAUGGACCCGCGGUGCAUUAGCUAGUUGGUAGGGUAAAGGCCUACCAAGGCGAUGAUGCAUAGCCGACCUGAGAGGGUGAUCGGCCACAUUGGGAGUGAGACACGGCCCAAACUCCUACGGGAGGCAGCAGUAGGGAAUCUUCCGCAAUGGACGCAAGUCUGACGGAGCAAAGCCGCGUGAGUGCAGAAGGUCUUCGGAUCGUAAAGCUCUGUUGUUAGAGAAGAACAGCGCAUAGAGUAACUGUGAUGCGAGUGACGGUAUCUAACCAGAAAGCCACGGCUAACUACGUG